AUGGUGGUGGACGCCCUUGCGGCCAUCCUGGACAAGGCCAAAUCGGCAGGCCAUAUCCACGGCGUGGUCCCACACCUAGUAGGAGGGGGAGGGGUCUCCGUCCUCCAAUAUGCCGACGACACCAUAAUAAUGGUCGAGGGCUCCACGACCGAUAUUGCCAACCUGAAGUUUCUCCUCCUAUGCUUCCAAAAGAUGUCCGGGCUCACUAUCAACUUCGAUAAAAGUGAAGUGAUGGUUCUGGGAUACCCGGACAAGGCCCAGGGCAUUGCUAACUGGCUUAAUUGCUGCCUGGGCACUUUCCCCACGACAUAUUUGGGGAUACCCAUUAGUGACUCGCGACUCACCGUGGCGGACCUCUGCCCAUCCGUGACCCGGAUGCAACACUGGGUCGAGCCCUGGAAGGGUCGGUGGCUCUCAAAGGCGGCGAGGGUAAUCCUCAUAAACUCCUCGCUUGCCAGCCUCCUCUGGUUCCUCAUGAGCUUCUAUAGCCUGCAUGAGACGCUCCAUCAGGAGGUUGCCAAGUACCAGUCCAGGUUUUUCUGCGCAGGCGAGGAGGACAAGCAGAAGUACCGUAUGGUGAGCUGUCCUUACAUUUGCAAACCCAAGGACCAAGGGGUCUGGGAUCCUGUCUUCCCGGUGCAUGAACAUUUCUCUCCUGACCCGUUGGCUCUGGCGUAUCGCCAACGGGGAGGGCAGCCUCUGGCUCACCAUCAUCCGAAAUAA
rnacentral:rRNA from 1 species